rnacentral:rRNA from 1 species
UACGGGGGGAGCAAGCGUUGUUCGGAUUUACUGGGCGUAAAGGGCGCGUAGGCGGCCAGCGCAAGUCAGUUGUGAAAUCUCCGGGCUUAACUCGGAAAGGUCAACUGAUACUGUCGUGCUAGAGUGCGGAAGGGGCUACUGGAAUUCUCGGUGUAGCGGUGAAAUGCGUAGAUAUCGAGAGGAACACCUGCGGCGAAGGCGGGUAGCUGGGCCGACACUGACGCUGAGGCGCGAAAGCCAGGGGAGCGAACGGG